UAUCGUGUAGAAUAAUAGGUAAUUCAUGAAUUUUUGGUAUUCAACAUUGAGUGUUCGAAUCACUCCACGAUAA